UGGGGAAUCUUGCGCAAUGCGCGAAAGCGUGACGCAGCAACACCGCGUGAGGGAAGACGGCCUUAGGGUUGUAAACCUCUUUCAGAUGGGACGCGGUACCGUCAGAAGAAGCUCCGGCUAACUACGUGCCAGCAGCCGCGGUAAUACGUAGGGAGCGAGCGUUGUCCGGAAUCAUUGGGCGUAAAGAGCAUGUAGGUGGAUCAAUAAGUCUGCUGUGAAAGUCGAAGGCUCAACCUUCGAAAGCCGGUGGAUACUGUUGAUCUAGAGUACGGAAGAGGCGAGUGGAAUUCCUGGUGUAGCGGUGGAAUGCGCAGAUAUCAGGAGGAACACCAAUAGCGAAGGCAGCUCGCUGGGACGUAACUGACACUGAGAUGCGAAAGCGUGGGGAGCGAACAGGAUUAGAUACCCUAGUAGU
rnacentral:rRNA from 1 species